rnacentral:rRNA from 1 species
UACGUAGGGCGCAAGCGUUGUCCGGAAUUAUUGGGCGUAAAGAGCUCGUAGGCGGCUUGUCACGUCGGAUGUGAAAGCCCGAGGCUUAACCUCGGGUCUGCAUUCGAUACGGGCUAGCUAGAGUGUGGUAGGGGAGAUCGGAAUUCCUGGUGUAGCGGUGAAAUGCGCAGAUAUCAGGAGGAACACCGGUGGCGAAGGCGGAUCUCUGGGCAGUAACUGACGCUGAGGAGCGAAAGCGUGGGGAGCGAACAGG